rnacentral:pre_miRNA from 1 species
AUGUUGUGUGACAUGUCCGUUUGGGAUAUACUAUGAUAUGAUUAUUUAUUAUUUAAUUGCUUUGGGAUAACAGGGUGUUACAGUAAG